rnacentral:tRNA from 1 species
UUUUAAUAGCUUAUUUAUUAGAGCAUGAUAUUGAAGAUAUCAAGGAGAUUUUUAUCUUAAAAUAU